UCCAAUUUGUCAGCCGUCAUCGGGUAAAAACGACAAAUCAAAGAAUUCAACUCUAUAUAUAACUAAUAAAGGACAAUGGUGUAGAUUAAAAAUUACACCACUCCAGACCCUUUUGUUUUCCACAUAAUUAAUAUUGCCAAUAAUUAACAAGUUCCGGGUCUAAUCCGAUACCGAUACCAAUAGUAUAUUCACCUGUUAGCUAUUACCUUAUCUGUACGUUCCGCAUUUGACAGGCGCACCACCAAACGGUGUAUUUAGGAUUUUGCUAUAUACACGGGUCAUAAUCAAAGGGCUGACACUACUAAAUUCAAUCAUUGUCAAAUUGUUCCCUAUUGUAGCUUUAUUCAGCAAUCAGCAAGACUUUCUAAGAUAACUAAUAUAGGACAAUGCUGUUGAUUAAAAAAUACCCCAUUCCUGGAUAGCCUGGACCUUUUGUUUUCCAAAUAAUCAAUAUUUCCAAUAAUUGAUAAGUUCCAGGUCGACGGGUUCAAACAGAAAGAUUUAAAAGCAGAGAAAACUGUGUAUCUUAUAAUCGACAUGACUUUAUCAGAUGACAAUACCAAUUACUAAAAUAAGGCUUAGGCAUAGUUAUAUACUUUAAUUCAGUCACGGACCCGCGAUAUCACGGGAGUGUACUUGUAUAUAUAA
rnacentral:lncRNA from 1 species